CAUCUUCCCCCUGAAACAAAAAGGUGUUUGUUUCCAUCUGGAAAUUUGGCCUCUUGUCAAAAGACAGGCAAGUAAAAAAAAAAGUAAAGUGAGUCAUGUGAACGUGUUGGUUAUAUUUCUCUUCACCUUUACUAAUAUAAAUAUUUUUUAAUGUUACAGAUAAGAUGCACAUCUAGAUUUCCACCAGACAGAGAAAUAAGCUGCAGCAGGUUAAGGUUUCCUCCGUGUUGACUUUCCCAAACCUCUGGAGGUUUCCACACCACUGGCCACAUCCCCUGCUGGCAUCAAUGGACCUUGAGAACAACAUAUUUCCCAUCAGACAGCAGAUUAAUCUCAUGUAACUCAUGCACGGUCACAUCCUGGUCGUCUUGCAGUGCUGGGAAGGUUGUGUGGGAGUCCAGCGGCAGAGGGAUGACAUUGGAAGAUGGAAGGAAGGGCUCGGUUCAUGCAUCAUAUCAUCUGAUUUGCGGGGGAAAGAGCAAUAAUAAAGAUGCAGGGAAUAAAAGCAA